rnacentral:rRNA from 1 species
UACGGAGGGGGCGAGCGUUAUUCGGAAUUAUUGGGCGUAAAGGGCGCGUAGGCGGCCUUGUAAGUCAAAGGUGAAAUCCCUCGGCUCAACUGAGGAACUGCCUUUGAAACUGCAAGGCUUGAGGCCGGGAGGGGGUAGCGGAAUUCCCAAUGUAGCGGUGAAAUGCGUAGAUAUUGGGAGGAACACCAGUGGCGAAGGCGGCUACCUGGACCGGAUCUGACGCUGAGGCACGAAAGCGUGGGUAGCAAACAGG